CGGCGCAGCUAGGGGAGCCAGGAGAGCCUGGCUGAGAGUGCGGCCCCCACAAUGCCGCUGACCCUUUGAACCUGACCUGGGUCAUACCAGCGUAGGGAAUGCAACCGGUGUACUGA
rnacentral:ncRNA from 2 species